AAUUAGUAAUUGCUGAAUAUAUUUAAGUUGAGUCAUUAAUAAUAAAAAAUGGAAUAAUUACCAAUAUAUCUCUAAAAAUUUCUGAAAUAUCUCAUUUAUUCUUUUUUUUUUUCUUUCCAAUAUAUCCCUUAUAUAUUACUCCGUUAUUUCAAAAUAUCUCUACAGUUACCAUCUGUUAAUUAACUUGAGUUAAAAGUAAGUUAAAUAUCUAUCAGAGUUUAAAAAUAAUUAAAAUAUCUCUUUUGCCCUUAACUUAAGGGUAAAUAAGAAAUAUUGAUGAUGGUAGAAGGGUGUAUUUGAAAAGACCAAAAAUCAAAAUACCUUUUGUACUCAUAACUUAAGGGCGAAUAAAAAAAGUCGGUGAUGGUAGAAGAGUAUAUUUGAAAAGACAAAAUAGUAAUUUUAUAAAGAUAACAUCUGAAUUUAAUUUGAUGGAUAUAUUUAAAAUAGGUUGAACGUAAGAAAAGUAUUUCAAUAUUAGUCUUUCAAGAACGGUAAAUCAGAAAGUCGGAAACUUUUUAAGAAUAUAUAAAUAAUUGCCCCUAAAAAAAUAUUUAUAUGUUCUCAAUAAAAUAAUUAAAAUCAAAUCUAAAAGCCUCAUUCCAGUUUUUUUUUUUUUUUUUUUUUCAAUGCGAAUUUUAUUAUCCUAUUGGACAGUAGGGGUGGAAACGAGCCGAGCUCGAGCGAGCUUACCACAGCUCAAGCUUGGCUUGAAAUUAAUUUCGAGCCUAAAUUUAGGCUCAAGUUCGGCUUGAAAUUAAUUUGAGCCGAGCUCGAGUGAGCCUAAUUUUGAGUCGAGCGAGCUCGAGUCCUAAACGAGCUGCUUGAAAUUCUUAACAUCGUGCAAUCUAUAGUUUAAUUUUCAUAAAAUAUCAUAUAAAAUUCGAUACAAAAAAUGUCUAAUAGCUCAACAUACAAAAUGAAUGCACGAAAUACGAUAUUAUAAUAUUUAAAAAAAUUAGGAAAAAUAAUUUUAUGAGCGAGUGAAAAAGAGAAAGAGAGAGCAAUUAAAGUAGGAUAUUGCUGGUUUGGUUUUAUGGGCCCAAUAAUCUAAAUUCUAUAUACAUAUAAUUAAAAUACAUAAUAUAAAUUUAUAUAAUUAAAAUAUAUAUUAUAUUUAAUUAUAUAGAGAGAGAGUUCGGCUACUAUACUCUAUUAGCAUAGACUCAUUUAUACUCAUAAGUUUUUUAUCGUUAGAUCAACCAACCACCCACUCAGACCACUAUUAUUCUAACUGCACAUCCAAUGGCGAAAAAUUUAUAAGUAUAAAGGGGUCUAUACUCAUAAGAAUAUAGUAGCCCUAGCCUAUAUACAUAUAUAUAUAUAUAGAGAGAGAGAGAGUUUUGCUAGAAUACUGUCAGUAGUAAACGAGCCGUUUUACUACCUAUUUAUUUUCGAUGAUAAAGCUUCCAAAUUGACAAUCGGCUCUAUUCAACAUGAUCUAUACCACUUAAAGUGUUUAGAAAUCAAAUUUCAAAUCUUUUCGACAUCAUUUGCCUAAUGAUCAAAGGGUUUCAAAAUUUGUAAUUUUAAUAGUUGAUAAGAGGCAUUUUCUCGUUUAACGGUGUAAAGAUAUCCAAAUCAAUUGGAUUUUUGUUAGAAAAUUCUUUAAACUAUUUAAAACAAGAUCUAUACUCUUGAUCUUGAUUACAAGACUCCUAUCAUCAUUUUUUAAAGAAUAUUCAUUUUCAGCCAUUCAUUUUUCUGUUCACUUGAUGGAUAAAAGAACAAUAUCGAAAGUGCAUGAAAUUUGAUUUCUAAAUAGUUUAAAUGGUUUAGAUCAUAUUUAACGGAGCCGAUCGUCAAUUUGGAAGCUCUAUCAUCGAAAACAAAUUUGGUAGUAAAACGGC
rnacentral:lncRNA from 1 species